AGCUUUUGGGGACACUUUUGUGAUUAGUCUGAUGAACUGUCGCUUUAAACUUCCAUUCUAAGAUUGGCUAUUGAAACCAUUUUCACUUUUAAAACCUUAAUCUCCUUUUGCCCUGGUUCCACGCUUGCCACUAGGGAGCUGCUGGCCUACCCCAAAGGGGGCGCUCCUGGCAGUCUCUCAGGAAGAAGGCACGGUGGGCAACUUCUACCUUCAGUUCCAGAAAUGCAAACCCUCUUGAGAGCUAAAUGUGUUCUUGCAUCCUCAAAGCAGUGGGUACCAGGAGAAGAGCCAUAUUCAGAGGCAAGUGUUGGGCACAUCCAGCCUGGGCAGCCAGUUCCUGAACCUCUCUUCAGUCACCAGGCAGUAAGCGGUUUACAGACACCGAGUGACUGGUGUGUCUCAUUAGAAGACAAGAAGGCAGAACAAGGCAGGAGAUUCAAAGUCUUCAUUGCUGACCGGAGGUGGAGCGUACAUCAGAGGGCAACAAGCCAAGUGUCUAUCUUACCGUCAAAUUCCCCUGUACCUCUGCAGGACUGUCUGAGGCUUGGCGGGAUGAUGCCAAACAGACAUCAUUUAACCAGCAAGAUUGCCCUCCCUGUACUCAAAGCCUGCUGGGGGAGGAUGAGACUGGAUGGCAGUAUGGCCAAUUAAUCGUUUCCGCAAGCACGUCACAGGGAAAAUGGAUAUGUCCAGUGCCUUAUAUUCCAGCACCAGCCAGGCUCAGGUUUUGUCAGAGGUGCAGCGGAGUGUCUCUGGCAGAGUGAGCAGCAGUAGAGCUGUCAGGCCUCAGGGCCGGGAGGACUUCCCUAGAGCAUCAACAGGAGGAAGAGGCCAGCGGGAG
rnacentral:lncRNA from 1 species